CUUCUUCGGAGUCAUUGGCCGACGACGUGCAAAGAUGUACAGAAACGAGGUGGUACCGCGACGAGGGUUCAAACAGGACCAUUUUAUACGGAUCGUUCCUUUAGUGGGUCGUUAAUCUUUGACUAGAGUGGUCAGCAAGGUUUAAUAGCGACCCGUUGAAGCCAAUCGGUGAUCGAUGGCUAGAACUUAGGGAUUCCACUGAAGAAGCCGAUGAUACCGGGCAGUGUUGAAUCGCGUUGGAUUCCUCGGCAACGGAAGAACGAGCCCAGCCUCUUAUUUGCAUGGAAACCUAACGAAUCAUCGGUCGGUGUUCACGUGACCGACGUCUAUUCUUCUACGAGAGAAUGAGACUCCAGAAAGAGGGGCAGGUUUUUCUGGAACGAACAAAAAGCCUCAGACUAUACGUAACCGGGUAAAAUGGCAGUUCGUGGACAAAAUACAAACGCAGCAGGUCACGGUUUGUGACAAAGGUAAACUUAUGAUGACGCAACUAGUAUACCUGGAAUGACAUGUUUCAAAAAACCUAAGGAAAACAGUACGUGGCACCUUUCCUCAUGCUUGCUCUUUGCCAGAGGAAAGCUCCGUUGCAUCCGAGUGUACACAGGUUGUCGCGGUUGAUUACUUCGAAACACACUCGGAUCGAUCGACGUGGAGAAGAAAAGAGCAUGGAAAGUCGAGCGAUACGGAAUGCACAACGGCGAGAUAAAAAUGUUCCCGUCCCGUGGCUAUUGGCGUGGUGCGACGCAUACGAAGAAGCGGCACCGGGGAAUAUCGAGAUGCUCCAGUUGCUUUUGUUUCCGCAGAAACACGCCUGAUAAACGGCAGCCUCGUUCUUUGACCCGGCAACUAUGUUUUUUCGCGGGAUUAAUUAACGAGUCUGCUAUUCUUUCGUCGAUUACAUCGUUACCAGUGCUUUCAACUUGCUGGCUAAAUGGUUCAUUCGAUUUAUUUGCACGAACGAUUCCGAAUGAUUAAGUCCGUACACGAAAUCGAUGAAUAGUUGGCUGUGGAUCGAGACGAAAGGACGAGGCUCUACGAAGGCUCCAGGGCAACCACCACGAGUCUCCGAAUCCGAUGUGCGCUCGAGCCCGAUCAAUAACACGGGGCGUGCACCACACCGAGGCCACCCUUUUCCUUCUCGCCGGCCAGGGGUCCUACCGUUGGUACCCCGGCUGACCUUCGAAAUUGAUCCAUUUAUCGCCGUAAUCCUUUCGAUUAUAUUACUAAACUUUUGUUGACUUUCAGGUGCAGAUACUCUCUACUUCAAAUAGGCUCUAUUGUACUCGAUAACACGGCGAUAUAAUGCGAGACAAUUUUCUUAUGAUAACGUAACGGGACUGUACAACGCGGUGAUAUGAGGCAAGGCUUUAUAACAACACGCGAGUAACACAAUGCGUGAUGAUACAGCACUAAGCUAUAGAAUAGACAAGUACUUGUGAUGAUAAAAUACGUAAUGCAGCGAUAUAACGCGAAUAUCACGGGUAGCAAUAUUGCAGCCAUAAAAGAACAAUAUGUAAACAAGUAAAGACUUAGCAAUAUUUCAUUACUAAAGUUUUUAUUAAUUUCAUAACAUUAAGUUUAAUUAAACUGAAAUACUUUUGAGGAAGAUUCAUGGUGUUAAGGACUAUCGUUGGAUAUUCAGCCCCAUUAGAAGUAUCAUACGAAGAGGCAGCUUCAGAGCGGAAAUCUGUGUAAAAGCUCGGUUUGGCAUGUAAAGCGUAGAUAUGUAAAGAGGAUCGCAGCAGAAGGCGGACACAUCAAAGCGAUUUUCAUUCAAAUCUAUUACUCGAAUAUUCUGGGAUCGGUUGGAGUCUAAAAAAAGAAGUGACUGCCACUCGAGCCAGAAAUAAGUCCCAACACAGCAUCCCAAUUCAGACACCCCUGAUAUGAGUCCAUAUAAGUAGCGGUUAUAAGUACCUCGUUAGAACUACCAUUGAGAAAGCUCAAUUAAGCUUGAUUCAAAUUUACAAGAAUUUCUUAUUUCAUAUUCAGUUAAUUUUAUCGAAUUAAGCAAAAUUCAGUUAGAUGCGGAAUUCAAUUAUUCGAGUAAUGUAAUUAUCUAAUUAAUGUAAGACAUAAUUGUACUUAAAUUAUGGUUCACGUAUGGAAAUCGAUUAUGUACCGAUUGCUAUGACAGUAACAGCGUACUGUGACCCAGAAAACCCAUCGAGUUGAUCGUUCAUUUUGCGAUAUCUUUGCGAAAGCACGUCGCGGCUUCCGUUUCCUGUUUUCAAACCGAGGCCUAACAAUUCCAAUAUGAUAAAGGCGUCCUGUCCUCGCACGUUCCGAGUCGAUGUAACCAACAGAAUAAAAACGUUCUUAUUGGACAAUA
rnacentral:lncRNA from 1 species